GGCACUGCCGAGAGAGGCUAACAAUGCGGCUGGCAUUAAGACGCAGCCUUCCAAUGCCGAUUCCCGGUGCCUGUCCUGUGACCGGCAGCUCAACGUGAGGGUGCCUGCCUCGCCCGUCGUGCCCAUCCCACCCGCGCCACGGCUGACCUCCCGCGUCACUGAGAAAAUUCCUCGUUCCCUCAAACCAGGGGAAAGC